UUCCGGUUGAUCCCGCCGGACCUGACUGCUAUCGGAUUGGUACUAAGCCAUGUGAGUCGUUGUAGCAAUACAAGGCAUACGGCUCAGUAACACGUAGUCAAUCUAACCUAUGGACGGGGAUAACCUCGGGAAACUGAGGAUAAACCCCGAUAGAUCAUUAUACCUGGAACGGUUAAUGGUCCAAAUGAUUCGUCGCCGUAGGGUGGGACUGCGGCCUAUCAGCUUGUUGGUGAGGUAAUGGCCCACCAAGGCUAUUACAGGUACGGGCUCUGAGAGGAGAAGCCCGGAGAUGGGUACUGAGACACGGACCCAGGCCCUGUGGGGCGCAGCAGGCGAGAAACCUUUGCAAUGUGCGCAAGCACGACAAGGUUAAUCCGAGUGUUUCCUGCUUAAGGAAUCUUUUGUUAGUUCUAAAACCACUGAUGAAUAAGGGGUGGGCAAGUUCUGGUGUCAGCCGCCGCGGUAAAACCAGCACCUCAAGUGGUCAGGAUGAUUAUUGGGCCUAAAGCAUCCGUAGCCUGUUCUGUAAGUUUCCGGUUAAAUCCAUUAGCUCAACUAAUGGGCUGCCGAAAAUACUGCAGAACUAGGGAGUGGGAGAGGUAGACGGUACUCGGUAGGAAGGGGUAAAAUCCUUUGAUCUAUUGAUGACCACCUGUGGCGAAGGCGGUCUACCAGAACACGUUCGACG
rnacentral:rRNA from 1 species